AUUGUCCUAGUACAACAACAUACUCAGCUAAAAGCCUUAUACAAAUACAAAUACUACACAAAACAAGCUGUCUGCUACAAAUAGCCUGAAGCGUUGUCCCGUAAGUUGUGGAUGACACUGGAGAAUUGCUGCUUUUUAAUCAGAACUCAAAAAUUCAUUUGAAAGGUUUUGUGCUUUAAAACCAUGGCAUUAGUUUACGUUGCCUUCUUCUCCUCCUCCUCUUCAUCCUCCUCUCCUCCUCCUCCUCCUCUUCAUCCUCCUCUCCUCCUCUUCAUCCUCUCCUACUCCUCCUCCUCCUCUCCUCCCCCUCUCCUCCCCCUCUUCAUCCUCCUCUCCAUCCUCCUCUCCUCCUCCUCUCCAUCCUCCUCUUCCUCCUUCCCUCCCCCUUUUCUCCUCAGUAAGGUCUCCAGACAGCUUCAUCCAUGCGUCCCCCAGCAGAGUUGAGUACUGUUGGGGAGUUGCUGUGACUCCCGUCCCCCUCCACCUCUCCAUCUGCCUGGCUGGGCAGGUUAGGGUUAACCAGGGAGCUACCGGUGGAGGCGCUGGUGCAGGGAGGAACCAUUCUGGAGGGGGAGCGGUCCCCCCCGGGAACCAUGGAGAACUGAGCAGCGAUCACUAACCUCGAUUUGAACGAAGACUCCUACUUCAAUGAACCUUCAGCGCAGGACAUAGGCCCUAAUCCCUGGAUAAUAUACAGUUCACUGGGUUUUCGACAGGACGGAACGUCCGGCAACAUCCGCACUGAGCUGCUGCUUUCCAGGAGCGGAAAUUCCGCUAUGCAAACCAUCAAACAGGCGCUGACCAACUGUCAAGUGUCUUCACUGACAUUGUCAACCUCUCCCUGACCCAGUCUGCUUCAAGCAGACCACCAUAGUCCCUGCAAUAUCAGUAGUAUCAGUAACUACAGUCGUGGUCAAAUGUUUUGAGAAUGACACACAUAUUAAUUUUCAAAAAGUGAGUGUUGACGAGGACAAGGCUGGAUAUCACUCUGUCAUACUGAUUGAGUUCGAAUAACAGACUGGAAGCUUCAAAAGGAGGGUGGUGCUUGGAUCAUUGUUCUUCCUCUGUCAUCCAUGGUUACCUGCAAGGAAACACGUGCCGUCAUCAUUGCUUUGCACAAAAAGGGCUUCACAGGCAAGGAUAUUGCUGCCAGUAAGAUGGCACCUAAAUCAACCAUUUAUCGGAUCAUCAAGAACUUCAAGGAGAGCGGUUUAAUUGUUGAGAAGAAGGCUUCAGGGCGCCCAAGAAAGUCCAGCAAGUGGCAGGACCAUCUCCUAAAGUUGUUUCAGCUGCGGGAUCGGGGCACCACCAGUACAGAGCUUGCUCAGAAAUGGCAGCAGGCAGGUGUGAUGCAAGUCUUUUGGAGGAUGUUCUGGUGUCAAGAAGGGCAGCAAAGAAGCCACUUCCCUCCAGGAAAAACAUCAGGGACAGACUGAUAUUCUGCAAAAGGUACAGGGAUCGGACUGCUGAGGACUGGGGUAUAGUCAUUUUCUCUGAUGAAUCCCAUUUCCUAUUGUUUGGGGCAUCAGAAAAAAGCUUGUCCAGAGAAGACAAGGUGAGAGCUACCAUCAGUCCUGUGUCAUGCCAACAGUAAAGCAUCCUGAGACCAUUCAUGUGUGGGGUUGCUUCUCAGCCAAGGGAGUGGACUCACUCACAAUUUUGCCUGACUAAGAACACAGCCAUGAAUAAAGAAUGGUACCAACACAUCCUCCGAGAGCAACUUCUCCCAACCAUCCAGGAACAGUUUGGUGACAAAUAAUGCCUUUUCCAGCAUGAUAGAGCACCUUGACAUGAGACAAAAAGGGAUAACUAAGUGGCUCGGGGAACAAAACAUCAAUAUUUUGGGUCCAUGGCCAGGAAACUCCCCAGACCUUAAUCCCAUUGAGAACUUGUGGUCAAUCCUCAAGAGGCGGGUGGACAAACAAAACCCCACAAAUUCUGACAAACUCCAAGCAUUGAUUAUGCAAGAAUGGGCUGCCAUCAGUCAGGAUGUGUCCCAGAAGGUAACUGACAGCAUGCCAUCAGUCAGGAUGUGGCCCAGAAGUUAAUUGAUAGCAUGCCAUCAGUCAGGAUGUGGCCCAGAAGGUAAUUGACAGCAUGCCAUCAGUCAGGAUGUGGCCCAGAAGUUAACUGACAGCAUGCCAUCAGUCAGGAUGUGGCCCAGAAGUUAAUUGACAGCAUGCCAUCAGUCAGGAUGUGGCCCAGAAGUUAACUGACAGCAUGCCAUCAGUCAGGAUGUGGCCCAGAAGGUAAUUGACAGCAUGCCAUCAGUCAGGAUGUGGCCCAGAAGUUAAUUGACAGCAUGCCAUCAGUCAGGAUGUGGCCCAGAAGAUAACUGACAGCAUGCCAUCAGUCAGGAUGUGGCCCAGAAGUUAAUUGACAUCAUGCCAUCAGUCAGGAUGUGGCCCAGAAGUUAAUUGAUAGCAUGCCAUCAGUCAGGAAGUGGCCCAGAAGUUAACUGACAGCAUGCCAUCAGUCAGGAUGUGGCCCAGAAGGUAAUUGACAUCAUGCCAGGGCAGAUUGCAGAGGUCUUGAAAAAGAAGGGUCAACACUGCAAAUAUUGACUCUUUGCAUCAACUUCAUGUAAAUGUCAAUAAAAGCCUUUGACACUUAUGAAAUGCUUGUAAUUAUACUUCAGUAUUCCAUAGUAACAUCUGACAUAAAUAUCUAAAGACACUGAAGCAGCAGACUUUGUGGAAAUUAAUAUUUGUGUCACUCUCUCAACUUUUUGCCACAACUGUACUGUAGAGGAGUUCAGUCUCAUCGGGAUCCUGAAUUAUCCGUCAUUAUCUCUUCCUUCUAUCCCUGAUUGCAGGUCCCGUGGCAAUGCUAAUAGGGAGGGGCUUCAGGUCCCGUGGCAAUGCUAAUAGGGAGGGGCUUCAGGUCCCGUGGGAAUGCUAAUAGGGAGGGGCUUCAGGUCCCGUGGCAAUGCUAAUAGGGAGGGGCUUCAGGUCCCGUGGGAAUGCUAAUGGGGAGGGGCUUCAGGUCCCGUGGGAAUGCUAAUGUGGAGGGGCUUCAGGUCCCGUGGGAUAACAUGGCUCCGUGAUGAGGCCUUUGCUAAAGGGGAGGGGCUUCAGGUCCCGUGGGAUAACAUGGCUCCGUGAUGAGGCCUUUGCUAAAGGGGAGGGGCUUCAGGUCCCGUGGGAUAACAUGGCUCCGUGAUGAGGCCUUUGCUAAUAGGGAGGGGCUUCAGGUCCCGUGGGAUAACAUGGCUCUGUGAUGAGGCCUUUGCUAAAGGGGAGGGGCUUCAGGUCCCGUGGGAUAACAUGGCUCCGUGAUGAGGCCUUUGCUAAAGGGGAGGGGCUUCAGGUCCCGUGGGAUAACAUGGCUCCGUGAUGAGGCCUUUGCUAAAGGGGAGGGGCUUCAGGUCCCGUGGGAUAACAUGGCUCCGUGAUGAGGCCUUUGCUAAAGGGGAGGGGCUUCAGGUCCCGUGGGAAUGCUAAAGGGGAGGGGCUUCAGGUCCAGUGGGAAUGCUAAAGGGGAGGGGCUUCAGGUCCCGUGGGAAUGCUAAAGGGGAGGGGCUGCAGGUCCCGUGGGAAUGCUAAAGGGGAGGGGCUUCAGGUCCAGUGGGAAUGCUAAAGGGGAGGGGCUUCAGGUCCCGUGGGAUAACAUGGCUCCGUGAUGAGGCCUUUGCUAAAGGGGAGGGGCUUCAGGUCCCGUGGGAUAACAUGGCUCCGUGAUGAGGCCUUUGCUAAAGGGGAGGGGCUUCAGGUCCCGUGGGAUAACAUGGCUCUGUGAUGAGGCCUUUUCUUUGUUCCUCUCUCUCUUCCUUCUAUCCCUGAUUGCAGGUGACCAGUGGGAAUGCUAAUGGGGAGGGGCUUCAGGUCCCGUGGGAAUGCUAAAGGGGAGGGGCUGCAGGUCCCGUGGGAAUGCUAAAGGGGAGGGGCUUCAGGUCCAGUGGGAAUGCUAAAGGGGAGGGGCUUCAGGUCCCGUGGGAUAACAUGGCUCUGUGAUGAGGCCUUUG